AGGAAUAUUGGUCAAUGGACGCAAGUCUGAACCAGCCAUGCCGCGUGAAGGAUGAAGGUCCUCUGGAUUGUAAACUUCUUUUAUCUGGGACGAAAACGGGAUUUUUAUCUCAAUUGACGGUACCAGAGGAAUAAGCACCGGCUAACUCCGUGCCAGCAGCCGCGGUAAUACGGAGGGUGCGAGCGUUAUCCGGAUUUACUGGGUUUAAAGGGUGCGUAGGUGGGCUUAUAAGUCAGUGGUGAAAUCUCCGAGCUUAACUUGGAAACUGCCGUUGAUACUAUAGGUCUUGAAUUAUCCGGAGGUAAGCGGAAUAUGUCAUGUAGCGGUGAAAUGCUUAGAUAUGACAUGGAACACCAAUUGCGAAGGCAGUUAACUACACAAAUAUUGACGCUGAUGCACGAAAGCGUGGGGA
rnacentral:rRNA from 1 species